ACUUAUUACAUGCAGCGGUACAUAGCAUAUAGCAGUAAGUUGUAAGUUGAAAACGCACGAUGAAGAAACGAACCUGAGUCGUGCUUCACGUAAGCCAAAACACAAUUCUCACAUUGAUCACCACAUAAGCGAUUUCGCCGAUUUCUCAUCCAGCAGUUAAGUUUCAUACUUAUGUAACAACUACAAAUCCGUCCAUAUCUCACUGUUUCGGUUCGUAUCGACUCGCGGUUUGGUAGGUUCAGAGUUGGUAUUUCAGUUUUCAGUUCUGGUUUUGAAUUCAUAUUUUGGUUCAGAACUUCACGUUACAGCUUUUCGGUUCACCCUGCGCGUUCCAACUCAGUUUCAGUUUUAAUGGUUCUGGUUUCGGAUUUUUGUUUUGGUUUAGAAAUGAUUUUUGUUUAGAAGCGCAUUCCGGUAAGCUUUAUUCAAUUUUGACAUAAAAUAUGGUUUGUGUUUGGUUUUGAUCAUGACUCGAUUUCAGUAUAGGUUUUGAUUUAAAUUAAAGUUACAACAAGCAUACAAUAUCAAAGAAUGGAAUUAGAUGGAAGUUUACCGGUUCGAAUGAAUAAAAAUACAAAAUUCGUUCUUGCUCGCAAGGUGAUGAUGAUAAUAGGAAAGAAUUGAUAAAGAUGUUUGAAGAUUGAUUCAAGGAUUGUGUUUGGUGAAUUGUUGAAGUAUGAAGAUGAAAUGAUGAUGAUGGAGGAUGUGAAGAAUAUCGGUAGAAGAUGAAUGAAGAUAGUUGAUGGAAGUGUGAAGCUUGGUUGAAGAUGCUUGAAGAUUGAUAAAGGUUUUUGGUGAAUUUUGAUUAUGGAAGAGUGAAGAAAUUUUGAUUAUGGAGGAUGUGAAGUUGUGGAUUUUUUUGUGAGUUUGUAAAGUGUGAUUAUGGAAGAGUGAAAAAGUUUGAGGGUGAAGAUGAAUAUGGUGAAGGAUGAAGAACUUUGGAUUAUGGAAACAUGAUGAAGAUUGGUGAAGUGUGAAGUUUGUAAUGAGAUAAUAAUUGGGAUUUUGGUGUUUUUUUUAAAAUAGUGAUUACCCUCUCAUGAUGGUGAUGAGUGUUGUUUAAGUAAUGAUGAAAGUGGAGGGAAAGUUAGUUAGGCAUGAUCGAAUUAGAAUCCUAGGAUAAUGAUUUUUGUGAUGGGUUUAAGAGUGGAUGGAUUGAAUUGUGUUAGUUUGUAGGGAUUAAGGUAGUUAUGGGUACUUAGAGAUGAAAUGUAAGUUUUGUGUUUGUUUGAAAUGAAAACGGAUUUCAUUUGGUUUA